GUCCUGCAGUCCAGUUCUACAUUAGGACGACUAGUACUAUCACAGGGGCUUGGUCUGUACUACGUACAGUCAGUGAGGUGAGGCUAAGGUUGUUUGUGACUGGUUUGAACUAGUUUCUGACUGGUUAUAGAUGUGAGUGGUUAGCGAUAAGUAGUGGCUGUAAAUGACUAAUGACUAUAACUGGCGUAUAACGGUGCUCUUCGGGUGUGACUAAACUGGUAUAUAGCAGGUCUCUUGGGGUGUUGUGUGACUAACUGGUUAUAACUGGUAUAUAGCAGGUCUCUUGGAGGGUUGUGUGACUAUAACUGGUUAAAACUGGUAUAUAACAGGUCUCUUGGAGGGUUGUGUGACUAUAACUGGUUAAAACUGGUAUAACAGGUCUCUUGGGGUGUUGUGUGACUAUAACUGGUUAAAA